rnacentral:rRNA from 1 species
UACAGAGUGUGCGAGCGUUGUCCGGAAUCACUGGGCGUAAAGGGCGCGUAGGCGGCUUGAUAAGCGUGCGGUGAAAGCCCGGGGCUCAACCCCGGGUCGGCCGUGCGAACUGUCGAGCUGGAGCACUGUAGAGGCAGGUGGAAUUCCGGGUGUAGCGGUGGAAUGCGUAGAGAUCCGGAAGAACACCGGUGGCGAAGGCGGCCUGCUGGGCAGUGGCUGACGCUGAGGCGCGACAGCGUGGGGAGCAAACAGG